rnacentral:lncRNA from 1 species
GACUCCCCCAGCAGCUGAACCUCCCCGACUGUCCGAGCCUCCAUAAUACCAUCCGGACUCCCCCAGCGGUCGACCUUCUACAGUGUCCUACAGAUUCCUCCAACGGACGAACUCCUAUCGUGCCAUCUAGACUUCACUAAUAAUGAGCUCCUCCAUUCAUCUACCGGACUGCUCCAAACGCUCUCUAAGCUUCACUAUCAGCCAAUUUUCCACAGUGAUCGACUAUUCUUCGAAUCUCUUCCAAACUUUUUCCAGCCACGAUCGACUCUACUCCGAACUUCUAUUGCAAGCGGACUUCAUCCGAGCUCCUACAAGAGCCGGACUCCGCCCGAACUUCUAUAGUGGAUGGAUCCCAAAUGAACUUCUACAAUGGAUGGGCUCCACCUGCC